rnacentral:ribozyme from 1 species
AGUGGAAAAUGAGGGCGGCAAUCAGAGUUGUUGCGUUUUUUUUUUUGUUUUUUUUUUGUUUUUUUUUUCCUUCCAUUUAU